rnacentral:sRNA from 1 species
AUCUGAAAUACAGAGGCAUUGUUUAACAUUUUUCUUAUACUGUAGAUUUUCAAGUGGCUCACAUAUUUCAUAUUGCCAAUAAAUUCUUCAGUUAGAAUUUUUAUAACGGCAUUAACAGUUGUUAUUUGUGACGUAUUUGUUACUUUUUUUUCAUUUUUUAGAUUGAAAAGAUAUGAAUGAGUAUCCUAAAAAAAGAAAAAGGAAGACUCUACACCCGUCUCGUUAUUCAGAUUCCUCUGGAAUAAGCAGAAUUGCAGAUGGAUUCAAUGGAAUUUUCUCUGAUCAUUGUUACAGUGUCUGUUCUAUGAGACAGCCAGAUUUAAAAUAUUUUGACAACAAAGAUGAUGAUUCUGAUACCGAGACAUCAAAUGACUUGCCAAAAUUUGCAGAUGGAAUCAAGGCCAGAAACAGAAAUCAGAACUACCUGGUUCCCAGUCCUGUACUUAGAAUUCUAGACCACACUGCCUUUUCUGCAG